rnacentral:rRNA from 1 species
UACGUAGGGGGCAAGCGUUGUCCGGAUUUAUUGGGCGUAAAGAGCGUGUAGGCGGCUAGGUAGGUCCGUUGUGAAAACUCGAGGCUCAACCUCGAGACGCCGAUGGAAACCAUCUAGCUAGAGUCCGGAAGAGGAGAGUGGAAUUCCUGGUGUAGCGGUGAAAUGCGCAGAUAUCAGGAGGAACACCUAAGGCGAAGGCAGCUCGCUGGAACGGUACUGACGCUGAGGCGCGAAAGCGUGGGGAGCAAACAGG